GACGAACGCUGGCGGCGUGCUUAACACAUGCCAGUCGAACGGAAAGGCCUUUUCGGAGGUACUCGAGUGGCGAACGGGUGAGUAACACGUGGGUGAUCUGCCCUGCACUCUGGGAUAAGCCUGGGAAACUGGGUCUAAUACCGGAUAGGACCGCACUUUAGUGUGUGUGGUGGAAAGUUGUUUCGGUGUAGGAUGAGCCCGCGGCCUAUCAGCUUGUUGGUGGGGUAAUGGCCUACCAAGGCGGCGACGGGUAGCCGGACUGAGAGGUUGGUCGGCCACAUUGGGACUGAGAUACGGCCCAGACUCCUACGGGAGGCAGCAGUGGGGAAUAUUGCACAAUGGGCGCAAGCCUGAUGCAGCGACGCCGCGUGGGGGAUGACGGCCUUCGGGUUGUAAACUCCUUUCGCCAGGGACGAAGCGUUUUGUGACGGUACCUGGAGAAGAAGCACCGGCUAACUACGUG
rnacentral:rRNA from 1 species